rnacentral:rRNA from 1 species
AGGGCGCACGGUGAAUGCCUAGGCACUAAAAGCCGAUGAAGGACGUGACGAACUACGAAAAGCUUCGGGGAGCGGUAAGUACGCAGUGAUCCGGAGAUGUCCGAAUGGGGGAACCCAAUGCAGCGAUGCAUUAUUGUAUGAUGAAUAGAUAGUCAUGCAAAGGAAUACGCAGUGAACUGAAACAUCUAAGUAGCUGCAGGAAGAGAAAGAAAAAUCGAUUUCCUUAGUAGCGGCGAGCGAAGAGGAAAGAGCCCAAACCAAGUGAUUUAUCAUUUGGGGUUGUAGGACUGCGAUGUAGUAGCGUGAGAGAUAGCAGAAUUAUCUGGGAAGGUAAGCCAGAGAGGGUGAGAGCCCCGUAAGCGAAAUUUCAAGCGCGCUUAGCAGAAUCCUGAGUAGGCCGGGACACGAGGAAUCCCGGUUGAAACCGCGAGGACCAUCUCGCAAGGCUAAAUACUAAUUAGUGACCGAUAGUGAACCAGUACCGUGAGGGAAAGGUGAAAAGAACCCCGGAAGGGGAGUGAAAGAGAACCUGAAACCGUGUGUCUACAAGUAGUCAAAGCACAUUAAAGUGCAAUGGCGUGCCUUUUGUAGAAUGAACCGGCGAGUUACGUUAACUAGCGAGGUUAAGUCAGAAAAGACGGAGCCGGAGCGAAAGCGAGUCUGAAUAGGGCGAAAAGUUAGUUGACGUAGACCCGAAACCAAGUGACCUACCCAUGACCAGGCUGAAGGUGUGGUAAAACGCACUGGAGGGCCGAACCCACGUAAGUUAAAAAUUGCGGGGAUGAGUUGUGGGUAGCGGUGAAAUUCCAAACGAACUUGGAGAUAGCUGGUUCUCUCCGAAAUAGCUUUAGGGCUAGCCUCGUGGAGAGGAUAAUGGAGGUAGAGCUCUGUUUGGACUAGGGGCCCGUCAGGGGUUACUGAAUCCAGAUAAACUGCGAAUUCCAUAUAUCCAUACACGGGAGUCAGACUGCGAGUGAUAAGAUCCGUAGUCGAAAGGGAAACAGCCCAGAUCACCAGUUAAGGUCCCCAAAUCUAUGCUAAGUGGAAAAGGAUGUGGAGUUGCGUAGACAACUAGGACGUUGGCUCAGAAGCAGCCAUCAUUCAAAGAGUGCGUAAUAGCUCACUAGUCGAGUGGCGCUGCGCCGAAAAUUUACCGGGGCUAAGCAUAGUACCGAAACUGUGGAUGUGUUUUAAAGAGCACGUGGUAGGAGAGCGUUCUAAGUGCGGCGAAGGUUAAUCGAGAGAAUAAUUGGAGCGCUUAGAAGUGAGAAUGCCGGUAUGAGUAGCGAAAGAUAGGUGAGAAUCCUAUCCGCCGAAAGACUAAGGUUUCCUGGGGCAGGCUCGUCCGCCCAGGGUAAGUCGGGACCUAAGGCAAGGCCGAGAGGCGUAGUCGAUGGAUAACAGGUAGAGAUUCCUGUACUGUGUUCAAUCGUUAUGAGCGAUGGAGGGACGCAGGAGGCGAAACACGCAUCGAGCUGGAUCGAUGUUCAAGCAGCGAGUGCGGUUAAGAGUCAAAUGCUUCUAACCAGCAACAUGAGCUGUGAAGAGUAGCGAAGUUAAAGUAGCGAAGGUGAUGUAGUCACACUGCCAAGAAAAGCUUCUAGCCAGAGAGAACAUACCCGUACCGCAAACCGACACAGGUAGUCGAGUGGAGAACACUAAGGUGAGCGAGAGAACUCUCGUUAAGGAACUCGGCAAAAUGACCCCGUAACUUCGGAAGAAGGGGUGCUGGCCAUGAGAGUGGUUAGCCGCAGUGAAUAGGCCCAAACAACUGUUUAUCAAAAACACAGGUCUCUGCAAAAUCGUAAGAUGACGUAUAGAGGCUGACACCUGCCCGGUGCUGGAAGGUUAAGAGGAGAGCUUAGCGUAAGCGAAGGUUUGAAUUGAAGCCCCAGUAAACGGCGGCCGUAACUAUAACGGUCCUAAGGUAGCGAAAUUCCUUGUCGGGUAAGUUCCGACCUGCACGAAAGGUGUAAUGAUUUGGGCACUGUCUCAACGAGAGACUCGGUGAAAUUAUAAUACCCGUGAAGAUGCGGGUUACCCGCGACAGGACGGAAAGACCCCAUGGAGCUUCACUGUAGCUUGAUAUUGAGUAUCUUUUAAACAUGUACAGGAUAGGUAGGAGCCAGAGAAUGCAGGACGCUAGUCUUGCAGGAGGCAAUGUUGGGAUACUACCCUUGUUUGAAGGAUGCUCUAACCUCGACCUGUAAGCCAGGUCAGGGACAGUGUCAGGUGGGCAGUUUGACUGGGGCGGUCGCCUCCUAAAGUGUAACGGAGGCGCCCAAAGGUUCCCUCAGAAUGGUUGGAAAUCAUUCGCAGAGUGUAAAGGUAUAAGGGAGCUUGACUGCGAGAGAGACAACUCGAGCAGGGACGAAAGUCGGGCUUAGUGAUCUGGUGGUACCGUAUGGAAGGGCCAUCACUCAACGGAUAAAAGCUACCCUGGGGAUAACAGGCUUAUCUCCCCCAAGAGUUCACAUCGACGGGAGGUUUGGCACCUCGAUGUCGGCUCGUCGCAUCCUGGGGCUGAAGUCGGUCCCAAGGGUUGGGCUGUUCGCCCAUUAAAGCGGCACGCGAGCUGGGUUCAGAACGUCGUGAGACAGUUCGGUCCCUAUCCGUCGUGGGCGUAGGAAAUUUGAGAGGAGCUGUCCUUAGUACGAGAGGACCGGGAUGGACGCACCGCUGGUGUACCAGUUGUCUUGCCAAAGGCAUCGCUGGGUAGCUAUGUGCGGAAGGGAUAAGCGCUGAAAGCAUCUAAGUGCGAAGCCCCCCUCAAGAUGAGAUUUCCUUUGC